rnacentral:rRNA from 1 species
UACGAAGGGGGCUAGCGUUGUUCGGAAUCACUGGGCGUAAAGCGCACGUAGGCGGAUUGUUAAGUCAGGGGUGAAAUCCUGGAGCUCAACUCCAGAACUGCCUUUGAUACUGGCGAUCUCGAGUCCGGGAGAGGUGAGUGGAACUGCGAGUGUAGAGGUGAAAUUCGUAGAUAUUCGCAAGAACACCAGUGGCGAAGGCGGCUCACUGGCCCGGUACUGACGCUGAGGUGCGAAAGCGUGGGGAGCAAACAGGG